UCAGCAGCCGAGAUAAUAUCUUCUUGCCAAACUGAGUGGUUUUGUAAGUCAACUGUUUGUCUUUUUAUCCACCCUUUCAAUCCAUCAUUUAUCUCCUGCAGAAGUGUCUUUAGAUCUGUGUCUGUGCUCUUUUCCACUCACUCUCUUUCUCUUCUGCUCAACUUCUGUUCAGACUUUGCGAUUGAACGUCUCUUUUUAGAAAUACACCACACUGCCUUAAACUUGUAAUAGUUUAAUUUCAUAGUUGUUUAAACUGCUUUUUGUUUCAAACUGAAUGGCCUCACAACCACAUUAAAGUGAUUUAUGAUUUGAAGCCUCCGUGCUGGCAAUAGCUAGUGGCCUGAGGCAUUAUGUUUUGGGGUUGUCGUCCGUCUGUCUGUCCCAUUCUAUUGACACAAUAUCUCAAGUGUGCCUUGAGUUUCGUCACAUUUGGUGCAAACAUUCACUUGGACUCAAUGAUGAACUGAUUUGAUUUUGGUGGUCAAAGGUCAAGGCCCCUUGAUGGUAUCUGCUCACAUUUGGCACAGACAUUAUGAUGUGGCCAAAGAUCAUGGUCAUGCUGGCCUUUUUCUUGAACGUGACAGCUUGAGAAACUUAACAAAUUUGAUUGAAUAGCAUAGCAAAAAGAUGGGUGCCUAUUUCUCUUGAGGUUGCUUGUGUAUCAAACAUCCCUAAGAACCGAUGUGUCAUUUUACCAAUGCCACAGCUUCUCUAAAACCUUUUCAAAUUACAGACCUGGAGGUGAGCAUUGACAAGUUGAUGACAACCACUGCAUUACAGUAGAUAAUCCUCAUGAAUUAUUUUUUCAUGACCCCAUGACUUGAUGCCAUUGCCCACAUUUCUCUUACUUUUUUCAUUCAAGGAUAAUUUAGCAUGGACAAUGUUCAGCCAACACUUUGAAAAUCCUGCCCUUAAACCCGCCCAUCUGCAUUUUAUCUUCAUAAAAUGCUGGAUCAUUUAGUAAUCAUUUAGUCUACAUUAUGACAAUGUCGCAAUAGUAUUCAGAUUAUUAAGUUACACAGUGUAAUUGCGUAUAAUUUACAAAAUAUUACAUAAAUGGUAUUCCCCAUUAAUCCUAAAAAGAUGUAUGUGAAAAUUAUUAAAAAAUAAAGGGACAGAUGACAGUUAUAGAACACUGGGAAAUGUAUCAUCUAUCAAACUAAGUCAGGCAAAUUUAAAGGGGACAUAUUAUGAAAAUUCCACUUUUGCAGUGCUUCUACACAUUAGUUUGGGUAUCUGGCAUGUCUACCUUCCCAAAAACUUGCGCGAUUUGUUGUGGUUCCUCUAUUUCAGAAACUAUGUGCUAAAGUGCGUCCAAUGGAAUUACGACCGAAAUAGACGUCAUAGUCGCAACAUGCCCAUGCCCCCAUAGCUCUAUGCACUCCCCCACUACCACUCGACCCACCCAUGGAUGGACCCACCCACUUUUUAGACAGUCUAUCAGUGUCCGGCAGCCAUUUAAUUCUUGCAAGCCUUGGAAACACUUGGAUAAGCUAACUAGCAGCAUGAAUCGAAUUCGACAACCGAGAUGCUCAGUGGUCGGCUGCACAAAUGUCUUCAUGUUACUCCAUAUUCAGAAGAUACAAGAUUGUGAUGGAUUGCGUUCAUAUAUGAUGGCAACAUUCCUGCCACCACUUUGAAUCCGUCUGUUUUAUCAACCUGGGCCAAUAUAACAACGGAUUCUCUAAAAAGGUUGUUAUUGAAAGAGGGGUCGGUGCCAUCUUUCCAUCGCAAUACUGAAGACGAGGGAAAUGCAAGCACAUCUGUUCACGGUGCUAGGCUACAUCACGUAGCAUGCCAGAUGGACCCACCAAAGAUGCGCACACAUGGAACGCAGCUUUCUAUGAAAACACUGCGACCUCACUACAAAAGUACAGCACUGAUGUCGGUGUUGGGACCUCAGCUGUAAGAGGCCUCGCUUGGAGGAGGGAGAGGACAACCCAAGUUGUUGCAAUAUGGACUUCGGAGAGCCACAGGAUGCUACCUAUGAUCCUGAUGACUCGAUCACAGUCUUGACUGAGUCCGCAGAUGUGACGUUUUUCAGGACCCGGCCCCUUAUGUGAAUGAGGUGCUGAAGAUCUCAACCUGAGGAUCUCUCUGCCAAGCAGGAAGUUAUUGCCAGCUAUGUGAGCAUCAGGGAACACUGCGUAUCUGGAGCACCGAGCAGGAUGGCAGGACCACGCUGAUUCUCCAACCCAGAUGGCCUCAACACCAGCUCACAAAGCUUCUGUACGCCGAAUACUUGUAACGGCUGAGCAAAGUUUACAUUGUAUUUAGAGAAUAAAAGGUGACACACAAAUAUAAACUGUUCCUUUGUUUACAGUUUGGGUACUGAUGGCACAAAGUGUAUUUUUGUAAUCAAUGUUUUUAUUAUACUUGGUAUUUUUUCUAUUUAUUACCUCUGUCCCAGCCAUUACAUUUAAUAACUAUUAUUAAAAAGCUCUGUGGCAAUCUUUCUGACAAUAAAAGUUUAUAGAAACAGUUGUGUGCCUUUAAUGUUUGAUAUGUAACAUGUCAACAAUUGACACGUGUAAGAUGAGCAGCUGUGGCAAUCUUUCUGACAAUAAAAGUUUAUAGAAACAGUUGUGUGCCUUUAAUGUUUGAUAUGUAACAUGUCAACAAUUGACACGUGUAAGAUGAGCAGUUAGCAAAGUAAUACAGAGGGAAGAGUAAUUUAUGUA